AGAGGUGGGUAAUCCCAGCUCAAUUGAGUAAAAGCCCUACUAUGUAUUGUUUUGUACCUGUGCACCUAAAACAGGUGAUUUCACUGAUUCGCUCAUCUACCAACCUAAAGAGUUGAACUAAUUAGAAUCAGAUGGUUUAAUGGGU